UACGGAGGGUGCGAGCGUUGUCCGGAAUCACUGGGCGUAAAGGGCGCGUAGGCGGCCUGAUAAGUAGGGGGUGAAAUCCUGCGGCUUAACCGCAGGGCUGCCUUCUAAACUGUCAGGCUCGAGCACAGUAGAGGCAGGUGGAAUUCCCGGUGUAGCGGUGGAAUGCGUAGAUAUCAGGAGGAACACCGGCGGUGUAGACGGCUUGCUAGACCAUAACUGACGCUGAGGCACGAAAGCGUGGGUAGCAAACAGG
rnacentral:rRNA from 1 species